AAGUCGUAACAAGGUUUCCGUAGGUGAACCUGCGGAAGGAUCAUUAUCACGUAUCCACGUACAAACCACUGUGAACUGUUCUCCCUUUCGGAGGUGCUGGGUUUGGCUAGAUCAAUAUCGCUUCGCUGUCGUGAUAGAAGUGUGGUCUAGCCGUUCCUGAACUCGCUUCAGGACGCCUGUAUCUUUGAAAGCGGUUAUUAUCACGCAACCUUAAACUUUAUUAACCCCUUUAACCUUUAUGAACUGAAAUUAAGCUUGAUGCGAAGGAGUGCCUCGGCAUUCUCGAAGUCAAGUCUUUAUUACGAAACUAAGAACAAUUCUUAACAACGGAUAUCUUGGCUCUGAUAACGAUGAAGAACGCAGC
rnacentral:misc_RNA from 1 species